rnacentral:rRNA from 1 species
ACACAUGCAAGUCCAACGUGAAAGGGGAGCAAUCCCCCGGUAGGGUGGCGAACGGGUGAGUAAUACAUGGGAAUCUGCCCUGGAGAUGGGGAUAUCCUUCCGAAAGGAGGGUUAAUACCGAAUAUCGUCCGGGUGACGAGAGUCAUUUGGGGAAAGGGAGGCCUCUGGCAACAUGCUUCCGCUCCGGGAGGAGCCCAUGGCCCAUCAGCUAGUUGGUAGGGUAACGGCCUACCAAGGCAAAGACGGGUAGCUGGUCUGAGAGGACGAUCAGCCACACUGGCACUGAGACACGGGCCAGACUCCUACGGGAGGCAGCAGUGAGGAAUUUUGCGCAAU